CUAAAGCACCGUGUCUGAGUUCAAAACAAUUCAAAGAAAGCCUUUUCAAAUUUUUUGAAUAUAAUAAUCAUUUUAUAUUGCUAUCUUUCUUGGUAAACACAAAUAUUUCCUCUGCCAUACUCAAAUUCAUUCUCAAAGUCUUUUCAUUAGGUUUUCUUUCUCUCUUUCUAUCUACCUCAAGCUUUUUCCUCUUUCUCCAACUCACGGGCGAUUUGAAAUCUGCCCCAGCUUCCAUCUUCAACCUCUCCAUCUUCUAUCUUCAACCUCUGCAUGGCUCGUCCGAUGAAAAAAAUUAAGGACAUCAACGAUUCUGAAUCACGGGACUUUUUUCCAGAUCCGACCCUUUUAUGGGAUUAGGGUUUCAGGAGAUCUCAGACGCAAGUUCUUUUCCAAUAUGAAUUUUGUAGAAAGUGGCGGUUUAAGUCGGUGAUGCAGCCUGUUAUAACAAGUUGAAGCUUUGAUUAAUGAUUUGAAGGAAAACGGAUUGUUCGAUAUUAAAGGAAACAAAGGGAGAGGGAGGUCAAAGGGAGCUGACUCUGAACAUGUCUGAACUGGCUCGGUUUCUACGGGAACCAGUUUGUUAUUCGUUUCGAUUGAGUUUUAUGCAGGGCUGCAGUUGUGUUCAUGUGAUGAUGGUUAAAUUGGCAUGCUGAUUUUAUGGAUUAUGCAGGGGUCAGAUUGAGUUUGUGAUGUUAACUGGCUUGGACAGUUAUGGGCUUUAUGUGUGAAGUGCUGCAGGCUUGAAUCUUUCCAGCAAAUUGAAGUGGAAUGUAUAGCUUGGUGGUGUUUUUUUGCGUAAUUCUGUAAUUUAAUCUUUUUUCCUUUUAAUGACUAAAAUACUGUGAGAAGUUGUGCAGCUUCGUUGUUUUUUUUUUUAAAUCUUGCGGCGAAUCAAGUUGUUUAUGAUUUUAGUUUAGGUGAAAACAAAGUCCUAUACUGGUUUUUCAUAAUUGGAGGGUGUUAUGACUUCUAAGCCCUAACUGUUAUUUACAUGUUUGCAUAUGACGGGGAGAAAAGCAUAUUUACUAUCAGCUCUCUUCUUCAAAACAAGCUUGAGUUUGAGAUUGUAUUAAAGGAGGCUAGAUCUAACAGGUAGAAAUUAUUAUCUCUGCCACUCCGCCUUGCUACAUCUGCUGUUGUUAUUGCUUGCGUUAUAGCCGCUGGGUUCAGUCUCGGUUCCAAGUUUGGUGGAAAUCAAAAUGUAGCAGUUGUAGGUCCAUGGUGGAACAAACUUUAAAAGAACAAGCAAGUAAUUGUUCAAAUUGGAUGUGAUAUAAUGUACAUGGAUGUGAUAUUGCAACUAAUUGGACCCUGGAUUGUGAUGCCGCAUCAACUAAUUGUUCAAAUUGGAUGUGAUAUCAUGUACAUGGUGAUUUGAGGGAAGUGUCUAAAGAAGUUCAUGAAGAUUGCAUGCACCGAUUGUACACAACUCAAACAGUCCUACUGGAUUUUGAUUUUUGGUUCCAUUCAUUUCUUUUUCUCUAGCUUCCCAAUUUCAAUUAUAUUACUUCUGUUUAUUUAGCAGCAGUUGUCAUGUCAUUGAGGUAAAUAAUAUUAUGAUGCUACUAUACUUUAGUUUAUUUGAUAUCAAUUUGGUAUCAUCCCUCAGGAGUCUGUCAUUUUCGAAGGUACGGUCAGAAGUAACAUCGAUCCAACUGGACAGUCUACAACUUAUGAGAUAUGGAAGGGGAUGGGCGACUCCACAUCGGAUAUUUUCUCGGAAGUGUCACAAUGGCUAUCUGACGUUUUUGGUUUUCCCUAUACAUGGUUCUGUUUUGCAUUGUUCUUAAUGAUUUUUGAUAAAUUAUUUGGACAUUUAAAAGAUGGCUUGCAAAUUGCUUCAAGGAUACUGAUAUGCAAAUAUGUCCUGCGCGUAUCCUUGACCUACAAUGCAAUGGUCUGCGCCGCUUCGAUGCGGCUGGAAGCAGUGAAUUCAUUUUUUCCGCUCCUCUUUUAACUUAUAAAAAUGUGCUCGGUUCAAAUGUUGCUGCUGGAUGAAAGUCAACUACCUUCCCUGUGAUAUCUCUCUGCCUGAUCCCCGUUUUUAUAUCAGUAUACUUUAUAUGUUUGUAGAAUCUGAUCCAUGUUGGAAAAAUGAUGUUCUUUAUUUUUAUUUUUAUAAAGUUUUACACUUUCAAAGAUGUCUUUUCCUCAACAUGGUCCACAUUCUGUAGUUUAGUUUGGCUCCAAAAAAUGCUACUGAACCUGAAGUACCAAAUAAGCUGACUCAUUGACAUGCAUGAGAUCCUAUGCAAAAUAUUGAUUUAGCUAAAUGUAACUUUUCUUCUAUAUUUCAUUAUGGUGUAUCAUUUAUAGACACUUUAUCAAACCAUAAGGAUGAGACAGUUAAAAAAUAAUUUGAGACAUCUCUUAUUGAGUUUUA